UUCAGAUUGGCAGUGCACACGUGUGGUUUGUUGUGAUGACGUAAGUGGGCGGCGACAGGUCGCCGCGACCACACCGUUGGAAUGGAGUACGCUGAACCGGAGUAAACAAUCCCACGUUUGGAGUCUCUAUGCGGGUCUACCGGGGUCGACUGUGUAACAGGCCGAGGUUUUUAAUGGCCGGUAAGCAUAGAGGCGGCUCGAUGAAGUUGUUAAACAUGCGAAGUUGCGAGGCGGAGUAUUUCGACAUACUCCCUCGUGGAGCCGGGAGGAUGCUAGCGUUAGCACAACGCUAGUAGCCUAGUAGUUGCAGACCAGCUGAGAGAAGGCGGUAUCAGCCGAGCGGCCCACCGACAGCAGGCUAGCUGUCCUGGAAACAACUCUCCGAGUGUACAGGACUGAGGAGAGGCGGAGAAAAUCCAAACGUUUGCUGCAGAAGAUCGCCGGUGGCCCGGGCAGGUAGCGCCGAAGCGGUGGUGGCUAGGAGGGCUAGCAGGUUGACGCCGUCAGCCAGCCUGGAUGGAGGACAGUAGUGAAGCUGUCCUGGUCAGCAAUCCGACAGCAAAGAACAGCCAGAGGGACACGAAGAGAGGCAGGACGGAGCAAAACGGGCUGGAUUACAGAGUCCACUAACGUAACGUUAGUCCUGGAGCAGGAGCCGAUGCAGUAGCAGGUGUAGCGGGGUGGAGUACACCGGGACAGGUGCAAGAAUACUGAUGCACUGCCUCCCAGCUCCUCGAUGCUGCCUGUCUCUGAUUCUGCCUCUAGUCGGUUUAUAGAGACAUGCAGAGAAUGAGCUGGGUCCCAGUAGAGCUGGUUCUUACAACAGGGGGGACUCCCAAACCUAAUAUCCACAACACAGAGCCUCCUGCUGUAAAGACCACUGUGCCGGAGGAGAGUGGGCAGGAGCUCAAGUGACUGACCCCUCAUCAGAGGCUGCAGCAACCUGAAUCCAGCCAGCACAAGCCCCAGCUCCAGAGGACUGGACAGCCCCAACUCCCAGCCGGAUCAGCAAACUUUCUGUUGCUGCCUUUACACAGCUUUGCAACUUUCCCUCCUCCGAUGUCCCAGCACUGAACAGUGGAAAGAGUAAAAGAUCAUUCUACAGAGGCAGCACAGAUAAAGGGCCUUUUCUCUUGGAUCUGGAGGCGGCGCUUGGUGUCCAAAAGUUCCAGCAAAGCUCGGGAUGUUUUGCUGUGAGGAGCCGCCCCACUGUGACAC